GAUGAACGCUGGCGGCGUGCCUAAUACAUGCAAGUCGAGCGAACAGAUAAGGAGCUUGCUCCUUUGACGUUAGCGGCGGACGGGUGAGUAACACGUGGGUAACCUACCUAUAAGACUGGAAUAACUCCGGGAAACCGGGGCUAAUGCCGGAUAACAUUUAGAACCGCAUGGUUCUAAAGUGAAAGAUGGUUUUGCUAUCACUUAUAGAUGGACCCGCGCCGUAUUAGCUAGUUGGUAAGGUAACGGCUUACCAAGGCAACGAUACGUAGCCGACCUGAGAGGGUGAUCGGCCACACUGGAACUGAGACACGGUCCAGACUCCUACGGGAGGCAGCAGUAGGGAAUCUUCCGCAAUGGGCGAAAGCCUGACGGAGCAACGCCGCGUGAGUGAUGAAGGUCUUCGGAUCGUAAAACUCUGUUAUUAGGGAAGAACAAAUGUGUAAGUAACUGUGCACGUCUUGACGGGACCUAAUCAGAAAGCCACGGCUAACUACGU
rnacentral:rRNA from 1 species